rnacentral:rRNA from 1 species
AUUGAACGCUGGCGGCAGGCCUAACACAUGCAAGUCGAGCGGGGUUUUCGGACCUAGCGGCGGACGGGUGAGUAAUGCGUAGGAAGCUGCCCGAUAGAGGGGGAUACCAGUUGGAAACGACUGUUAAUACCGCAUAAUGUCUACGGACCAAAGUGUGGGACCUUCGGGCCACAUGCUAUCGGAUGCGCCUACGUGGGAUUAGCUAGUUGGUGAGGUAAUGGCUCACCAAGGCGACGAUCUCUAGCUGGUUUGAGAGGAUGAUCAGCCACACUGGAACUGAGACACGGUCCAGACUCCUACGGGAGGCAGCAGUGGGGAAUAUUGGACAAUGGGCGCAAGCCUGAUCCAGCCAUGCCGCGUGUGUGAAGAAGGCCUUCGGGUUGUAAAGCACUUUCAGCGAGGAGGAAGGGUGGUGUGUUAAUAGCACAUCAUUUUGACGUUACUCGCAGAAGAAGCACCGGCUAACUCUGUGCCAGCAGCCGCCGCGGUAA